rnacentral:lncRNA from 1 species
CUUUUCCUAACGGCUGCAGAGCUGUGGCUGGUCCUGAGCUGUGAGACAUGGCUGGGCUCAGGAGGAUCCUCACUGGGGACUUUUGGAGAGGCAGCACAAGGCAUUGGUCUGGAUGCUCACCUAAUGGUAUUGUUCCCACUCAGCUGCUGGUUAAUCAUCUCUGCUGUAAUUGGUGUUCCUUCUGUGCUGAAGCAUCUCUUCUCUUCUAAUAGGAGGUGACUGAUUAUAAGAGAUACAGCUUUUGAGCCCUGAAAUGAGCUGUCUGAGUUUAUGGGAUCUCCUGCACAACGCUGCAAAAUUGGAUUUUCUCACCAAGAGCUUUUGCUCUCAUUUACAUAUCUGAAAGUCCUGACCUUAACAAUUCCGAAGCUGUUUGGUGGGUAUCUGUAGUUCCUGGGCGAUGGCAGUUGAAGUUCUGACUCUGAAGCAGAAAGUGCGGGGCAUUGUUCUGAUGUAAAGGCAUUUUUAUUAAGCUGGAAUUACUUACUCCAUCAGUUCAAACCUGAUGAGUUUCCAGACUUAAAUAGCUUAUUGAGUGUGACUUGUCAAAUAAGAGGAUUACAUGCUGGGCUUUAGCUAACAGGAUCUUUAGAAAUAUGAAGCACAAAUAUUGAAAAAGCUUCAAUACGUAGCUGUCUGCUGCAUUGCCCUGGCAUCAUCAUUCCGAAGGUGUUUCUGCUGCAAAUUCAUGCUUGUGAUUUAUUGAUUGGCUCCUCGGGAACAGUCGGAUGCUGAGAUGGCUGCAGUUUGCCUGAUGCUGGGGUCACUGCUGGCCUGUGUCCUCCUGUGCCUACCAAAAGCACCGCAACCCACUGGUGUCACUGCAUGCCAUUGGGACAGGGCUGAGAAGCAUUGCAUAAACAGCAUAGAGACGUGGAGCUGUCAUCAUCUUGUCUGUGCCUCACCGAGGUCCCUCUCGGACCUGCUAAGGUUCCGCUGCUGCAGACAGGAGCUACCAGAAGAGUUGUACAAAAGAUGCGUACUGUGCCAGCUACCAUUUGUUUUAAAGCUGGGCUUUACUCAAAGCGAGCUCAAAAUUUCGGUCUGAAUUAUGUCAUGUUUUCUGAGAAGUCCUGUAACAGAAAGUCAGCUUCUGGCUUGCAAAGUGCCUGUGAGGUUUUUCAUGAAGACGUGGUGAGCCCCUCUGUAACCAGCACUGUCGCAUGGAGCACUCAACCUGAGCAUGGGCUGGGAGUUCUGGUCUGCCAAUGACAGCAUACACAGACACUGGUCAGGCUGGCAGCUGAGCCUGCUUGUGCUAGAUGGCAAGGUAAGUCUCUAACCAGAGGAUUCCUCAUCAAACUGCAUUUCUCUUGGUAUUUUUGAGGUAAGUCUUUCCAUUCAUAUAUGCAAAAUAUACCCCUCCUGGCCCCACAGAAUAAGUGCCUAAUUACAUCUCUCAUAAGGCUUUCCUGGAAUAUAAAACUACUAUUGCUGAUCAGUCAUCUCCCC